rnacentral:lncRNA from 10 species
CUAUAAUGGUAGGAAAUACUAAUAUUAAUUAGAGCAAUUCCCCACAAUCUGUAGGCAAUCUUGAAUACUGAAUCCCAGGAAAUUUUCAGCUUGAGCUACUCAGCCUCAUUGUCAAGUGAUUGCCAAUUAGGAGAAAAAUCUUGUAAAUGUUGGCCUGUGAAGUUAAAUGAAACUUCGUGAGGAUUCUUCCAAUGUAGAUGCACACUCAACACCUGCUGCUUUUUUGAAAUAAUUAACAUCAUUUUGGAGUUUCCAUGAGCCUGCUCAAUGGGCUGCAGACAGAUGUGUGGAUCAGAUGUCACCUAGCACAGCUGGAGCUGCCAAGUUAACACAUACAUUUUUUGUUCCAUCCUCUUUCCUUGUCUACACAGCUGUAGUUUUCAGUACACUGGGUUAUGGAUCAAUUUUCAUUUUAGUUGAAGGCUCAUCCGAUGUAGACAGAUCAUCAUCAUUUAUUUGUGCUGACGUGAAUUUUGUUCACAUUCUCCUAGGACUCUGUAUUUACACAUCUCAAUAAUAGGGCUCAUGAAAAACAAAUGCUUCCCAAAUGAGGAAAAUCUUUAACAAUUUAAGACAAUAGAUGAAGAUCUUUCAUGAGUUUAUUGUACACAUCUUUCCAUUUUUUUUUUUAUUGUUUUGAAAUAUUUCAAAACAGGCACGGUGGCUCAUACCUGUAAUCCCAGCACUUUGGGAGGCUGAGGCGAGUGGAGUACCUGAGGUCAGGAGCUUGAGACCAGCCUGGCUGACAUGGUGAAACCCCAUCUCUACUAAAAAUACAAAAAAAUUAGCUGGGCAUGGUGGCAGACACCUGUAAAUCCCAGCUACUCGGGAGGCUGAGGCUGAACCCGGGAGGUGGAGGUUGCGGUGAGCUGAGAUUGUGCCAUUGCAUUCCAGCCUGGGCAACAAGAGCAAAGCUCCAUCUCAAAAAAAAAAAAAAAAGGCUUUAGUAAAGCUUAAUUUUCUUUUUUAUUGCUAAAAGUCCUACCUAUUUAUACAAAAAUUUGGAAGGAAGCAUAGAGCCAUGUUUAACAGAAUGCUUCUUUUACAUCUUCCACAAUCAAAUAGUAAUUUUAUAUUUUUUUCAAAAUUGCAAAAUACUGUAACUUUAUGGUCUACUUAACAAUCUUCAAUUCAUCUUCACUUAUGAGAAACAACAUAGGCAAAAGUAGGUAGACACCAAAGGAAAGAAACAUGUUAAAAUAUCAUUCUUGCACAGGUGAAAUGGGCUAUCACCCAGACUUUCCUGGACAGCUAACUUUUAAAUGUUAAGCAUUUUCAAAACAAUGAUUCCAGAUAUUUGUUAGGUAAUUUGGCUACCCCAGCAUUUCAGUUCAUUUAAGUUUUUUUAUUAACUCGCUCAUUUCAUUUUCAGAAAGCUUAGUCUAGAUAUUCAGUGAAAAAGAGCUUCAUUAAUCUCUUGAUAACAGGCAGCAAGACAGUACACUAGUACACCAGACCUAGGAAUCAGAAGACCUGAGUUCAGUUUUUAUGUCUGACAUGAUCUGUGUGACCUUGACAAGAGUCUCUCAGACUACAGGUUUCUAAUGGUAAAACAGGGAAGCUAGCAAAAAUAAUAUCUAUGUUUUGCCUUAUUCUAAAGCAAAAAUUAAAGAAAAUUAAUCGUUCUGUUCAAUCAUAAACUGACUUCCUCUGAAAAUAUUUAUUGUGUCCUGUUACUUUCAAUUUUAUUCCAGCACACUUUGAUUCCCAGUGUUUUUUAUUUCAAUCUGGAUUAAAGAUGCUUUCUGCCUGGAGCUGCUCUAUUGCAAAU